UACAGGGGGUGCAAACGUUGCUCGGAAUCAUUGGGCGUAAAGCGCACGUAGGCGGUUCGUUAUGUCGGAUGUGAAAGCCCUUGGCUUAACCGAGGAAGUGCAUCCGAAACUGGCGAGCUAGAGUACUAAAGAGGAUCGCGGAAUUCCCGGUGUAGCGGUGAAAUGCGCAGAUAUCGGGAAGAACACCCGUGGCGAAGGCGGCUCUCUGGGACGGUACUGACGCUGAGACGCGAAAGCGUGGGGAGCGAACAGGA
rnacentral:rRNA from 1 species